AUGAAGAGUUUGAUCCUGGCUCAGGAUGAACGCUAGCUACAGGCUUAACACAUGCAAGUCGAGGGGCAGCAUUUCAGUUUGCUUGCAAACUGGAGAUGGCGACCGGCGCACGGGUGAGUAACACGUAUCCAACCUGCCGAUAACUCGGGGAUAGCCUUUCGAAAGAAAGAUUAAUACCCGAUGGUAUAAUCAGACCGCAUGGUUUGAUUAUUAAAGAAUUUCGGUUAUCGAUGGGGAUGCGUUCCAUUAGGCAGUUGGUGAGGUAACGGCUCACCAAACCUUCGAUGGAUAGGGGUUCUGAGAGGAAGGUCCCCCACAUUGGAACUGAGACACGGUCCAAACUCCUACGGGAGGCAGCAGUGAGGAAUAUUGGUCAAUGGACGAGAGUCUGAACCAGCCAAGUAGCGUGAAGGAUGACUGCCCUAUGGGUUGUAAACUUCUUUUAUAUGGGAAUAAAGUUUUCCACGUGUGGAAUUUUGUAUGUACCAUAUGAAUAAGGAUCGGCUAACUCCGUGCCAGCAGCCGCGGUAAUACGGAGGAUCCGAGCGUUAUCCGGAUUUAUUGGGUUUAAAGGGAGCGUAGGUGGACAGUUAAGUCAGUUGUGAAAGUUUGCGGCUCAACCGUAAAAUUGCAGUUGAUACUGGCUGUCUUGAGUACAGUAGAGGUGGGCGGAAUUCGUGGUGUAGCGGUGAAAUGCUUAGAUAUCACGAAGAACUCCGAUUGCGAAGGCAGCUCACUGGACUGCAACUGACACUGAUGCUCGAAAGUGUGGGUAUCAAACAGGAUUAGAUACCCUGGUAGUCCACACAGUAAACGAUGAAUACUCGCUGUUUGCGAUAUACAGUAAGCGGCCAAGCGAAAGCAUUAAGUAUUCCACCUGGGGAGUACGCCGGCAACGGUGAAACUCAAAGGAAUUGACGGGGGCCCGCACAAGCGGAGGAACAUGUGGUUUAAUUCGAUGAUACGCGAGGAACCUUACCCGGGCUUAAAUUGCAUUUGAAUAUAUUGGAAACAGUAUAGUCGUAAGACAAAUGUGAAGGUGCUGCAUGGUUGUCGUCAGCUCGUGCCGUGAGGUGUCGGCUUAAGUGCCAUAACGAGCGCAACCCUUAUCUUUAGUUACUAACAGGUCAUGCUGAGGACUCUAGAGAGACUGCCGUCGUAAGAUGUGAGGAAGGUGGGGAUGACGUCAAAUCAGCACGGCCCUUACGUCCGGGGCUACACACGUGUUACAAUGGGGGGUACAGAAGGCAGCUACCUGGUGACAGGAUGCUAAUCCCAAAAGCCUCUCUCAGUUCGGAUCGAAGUCUGCAACCCGACUUCGUGAAGCUGGAUUCGCUAGUAAUCGCGCAUCAGCCAUGGCGCGGUGAAUACGUUCCCGGGCCUUGUACACACCGCCCGUCAAGCCAUGAAAGCCGGGGGUACCUGAAGUACGUAACCGCAAGGAGCGUCCUAGGGUAAAACUGGUAAUUGGGGCUAAGUCGUAACAAGGUAGCCGUACCGGAAGGUGCGGCUGGAACACCUCCUUU
rnacentral:rRNA from 1 species